rnacentral:miRNA from 1 species
AAAUGUUUUUCGAGUAUCUUC